UACAGAGGGAGCGAGCGUUGUUCGGAAUUACUGGGCGUAAAGGGCCAGUAGGCGGCCGACUAAGUCCGACGUGAAAUCCCCAGGCUUAACCUGGGAACUGCGUCGGAUACUGGAUGGCUUGAAUUCGGGAGAGGGAUGCAGAAUUCCAGGUGUAGCGGUGAAAUGCGUAGAUAUCUGGAGGAAUACCGGUGGCGAAGGCGGCAUCCUGGACCGACAUUGACGCUGAACGGCGAAAGCUAGGAGAGCAAACGGG
rnacentral:rRNA from 1 species